AUGGCUGAUCCAUGGACUUGGGACUUGCCAGCUUCUACAAAUAAACCAACAUGAAAGGAAUUUACAAUGAUCUUCAGGAGACUACCCUGCCCAGGCCUCACCUAUAUAACCUUCUUUCAUGACUCCCUCUUCAGAGCAUCUUCUCAAUCAAUACUUUCAGUUUGAAGCUGCCCAAUUUGAAUUGUAUCUACUCACAAUAAAUAUAUUCUGUUACACUAA